CGCGUAGGCGGGUAUGCAAGUCAGAUGUGAAAUACCGGGGCUUAACUCCGGGGCUGCAUUUGAAACUGUAUAUCUUGAGUAUCGGAGAGGCAGGCGGAAUUCCUAGUGUAGCGGUGAAAUGCGUAGAUAUUAGGAGGAACACCAGUGGCGAAGGCGGCCUGCUGGACGACAACUGACGCUGAGGCGCGAAAGCCAGGGUAGCAAACG
rnacentral:rRNA from 1 species